UACACGCAUGACACACUGCAUAUCAAUAAGCGGAGGAAAAGAAACUAACAAGGAUUCCCUUAGUAACGGCGAGUGAAGCGGGAAGAGCUCAAAUUUGAAAUCUUCAAGGUUCUACCUUGACGAAUUGUAGUUUAUAGAAGUGUUUUCUGUUAGUAGAGUGGCAAAAGUUCUUUGGAAUAGGACAUCAUAGAGGGUGAGAAUCCCGUAUUUGGUCAUUCCUCCUAGCGUUGUGAUACACUUUCAACGAGUCGGAUUGUUUGGGGAUGCAGUCCAAAAUGGGUGGUAAAUUUCAUCUAAAGCUAAAUAUUGGCGAGAGACCGAUAGCGAACAAGUACCGUGAGGGAAAGAUGAAAAGAACUUUGAAAAGAGAGUUAAACAGUACGUGAAAUUGUCAAAAGGGAAGCGUUUGACACCAGUGUUGUUUUUCCGAAAAUCAAUUACGAAUGUUUUGUUUUUAAGAAGUUAUGACUUCAUCGGCUUGCUUCUUUCUUUACGAAACUUUCUUAAUGCACUUUUCGGUUAACAAGUCAACAUCAAUUUCUUUUGUUGUAAAAGGGUAUGAGGAAGGUGGCUUUCUUUUCGGAGAAAGUGUUUAUAGCCUUGUGCCUCUGCAAUCGGAGAGAUUGAGGUCUGCAGCGUAGAUCCUUCGGGGUUAGAUACGUUUGUGCUAAGUUAUAGCUUUUCAUAGACAACUUGUUGACUAUGUUUAGUCUUGUAGCUUACUCGCUGACGCUAUUUUACCUACGCUUAGGAUGUUGACUGAUAUGUAGUCGUA
rnacentral:rRNA from 1 species